UACGGGGGGGGGCAAGCGUUGUUCGGAAUUACUGGGCGUAAAGGCUCGUAGGUGGCCAACUAAGUCAGACGUGAAAUCCCUCGGCUUAACCGGGGAACUGCGUCUGAUACUGGGAUGGCUAGAGAUUGGGAGAGGGAUGCGGAAUUCCAGGUGUAGCGGUGAAAUGCGUAGAUAUCUGGAGGAACACCGGUGGCGAAGGCGGCAUCCUGGACCAACACUGACGCUGAGGAGCGAAAGCCAGGGGAGCAAACGGG
rnacentral:rRNA from 1 species